rnacentral:misc_RNA from 1 species
UUUCCGUAGGUGAACCUGCGGAGGGAUCAUUACAGAGUUCUCUUCCUGGCGGGUAGUUCUCCCACCCCCAGUUAUCGUUACAGUUGUUUCUUUGGCGGGCCGCCGUGUUCCCGUCAGCCAGCGCCUUACUGUCUGCUCGCGCUCUCCAGAGGCCCUCUAACCCGGAGUGUUAGUGUUUGCUACAUACUAUUUAAUAGCUAAAACUUUCAACAACGCAUCUCUUGGUACUGGCACCGAUCAGAAAAGCAGCCGACUGGACGACAGCACCCAUUAACCCCC